rnacentral:rRNA from 1 species
CCUACGGGCGGCAGCAGUGAGGAAUAUUGGUCAAUGGGCGCGAGCCUGAACCAGCCAAGUCGCGUGAGGGAAGACGGUCCUAUGGAUUGUAAACCUCUUUUGUCGGGGAGCAAAAGACGCCACGCGUCGCGUUCCGAGAGUACCCGAAGAAAAAGCAUCGGCUAACUCCGUGCCAGCAGCCGCGGUAAUACGGAGGAUGCGAGCGUUAUCCGGAUUUAUUGGGUUUAAAGGGUGCGCAGGCGGGAGAUGAAGUCAGCGGUAAAAUUGAGAGGCUCAACCUCUUCCAGCCGUUGAAACUGGUAUUCUUGAGGGAGCGAGAAGUAUGUGGAAUGCGUGGUGUAGCGGUGAAAUGCAUAGAUAUCGCGCAGAACUCCGAUUGCGAAGGCAGCAUACCGGCGCUACACUGACGCUGAUGCACGAAAGUGUGGGUAUCGAACAGGAUUAGAUACCCUGGUAGUC